CUCCAUUUUGCCCCAUUUCUGCCCAUUUUCCCCAAUUCCCACCUCUUUUGGCCCUUUUUUGCCCAAUUCUGCCCCUAUUUCGCCCAUUUCUGCCCCAUUUUCCCCCCAUUUCUGCCCAUUUCUGCCCAUUUUUUCACCCAUUUUUCCCCCAUUUCCCCCAAUUUCACCCCAAUAUUCCUCUCUGCUGUCCAUUCUGACCCCCAUUUCCCCCCAAUUCUGCCCCAUUUCCCCCCAGUUUUGCCCCAUCCCCCCCCCACUUCCACCCCACUCCCUCCUCCCACUGUAUCCCCCUAUGGGACCCAUCCCCAUUUAGGGUCCAAAAGGUGGGAUUUUGGGGCCCAAAAAGUGGCAUUUUGGGUCAUUUUGGGUCGAAAAAGUGGCAUUUUGGGUCCUGGCAGAGCACAUACAGCACCUGAAGGCGGAGGGCUGCGGCUGCAGCGCCCCCUACAGGCGCGGAGGUCCCCAUUCUGCCCCCAUUUGCCCCCAUUUCUGCCCCAUUUUCCCCCCCAUUUCUGCCCAUUUUUCACCCAUUUUUCCCCCAUUUCCCCCAAUUUCACCCCAAUAUUCCCCUCUGCUGUCCAUUCUGACCCCCAUUUCCCCCCAGUUCUGCCCCAUUUCCACCCCAAUAUCCCCCCCCCCCCCCCCCCUCCCCUUCGCUCCCUCCUCCCACUGUAUCCCCCUAUGGGACCCAUCCCCAUUUAGGGUCCAAAAGGUGGGAUUUUGGGGCCCAAAAAGUGGCAUUUUGGGUCAUUUUGGGUCGAAAAAGGGUCAUUUUGGGUCCUGGCAGAGUACGUGGAGCACCUGAAGGCGGAGGGCUGCGGCUGCAGCGCCCCCUACAGGCGCGGAGAGCACAUACAGCACCUGAAGGCGGAGGGCUGCGGCUGCAGCGCCCCCUACAGGCGCGGAGGUCCCC
rnacentral:lncRNA from 1 species